AAAAGUAAAAAAGCUUGUGGGAAGGGUAACUUUACUUUUUAACACAAGAAAAGAAAAUAAAAAAAAUAUGGUUUUGAAGUAUUUCACCUAAAAUAAAAAGUUUAGGGUUUUCACAAUGAUUAAGGGUCGCUGUAAUAUAUUUUUUUCCUGAUCUUCUGGAAGACAUUUAAAGUUGAAUUUACAAUCCAAAGAAACUCAGACUUACAUGGAAACUUUGCUAAUAAUGCAGAAAGUCCUUUGACAUUUACUUUCCAUUUGUUUAAUGUGUUGGCCAUUUGAUAAGAGUUUUUCUCAAAUGACUAUUCCUUGGAGUCGGUAUUAUUCUAAUUUUUUUUUUUUUUUUAAAUUUCCUAACAUGUGCUAACAAAGUAUAAUUUAUUUUAAUUUCUUAAACCAGAAAUUGGUCAGAAGAAUCAUUCUUUUCUUUCAAAAAAUGAACAAUUCG
rnacentral:lncRNA from 1 species